rnacentral:siRNA from 1 species
AGCCGACACAACUCAGGGUUUGAC